GCACUUGUAGCCAAGUUGGUCUAAGGCAGCAGACUGCAAAUCUGUUAUUCGUAAGUUCAAAUCUUACCAAGUGCUCCA
rnacentral:tRNA from 1 species